rnacentral:rRNA from 1 species
GAUGAACGCUGGCGGCGUGCCUAAUACAUGCAAGUCGAGCGAACAGACGAGGAGCUUGCUCCUCUGACGUUAGCGGCGGACGGGUGAGUAACACGUGGAUAACCUACCUAUAAGACUGGGAUAACUUCGGGAAACCGGAGCUAAUACCGGAUAAUAUAUUGAACCGCAUGGUUCAAUAGUGAAAGACGGUUUUGCUGUCACUUAUAGAUGGAUCCGCGCCGCAUUAGCUAGUUGGUAAGGUAACGGCUUACCAAGGCAACGAUGCGUAGCCGACCUGAGAGGGUGAUCGCCCACACUGGAACUGAGACACGGUCCAGACUCCUACGGGAGGCAGCAGUAGGGAAUCUUCCGCAAUGGGCGAAAGCCUGACGGAGCAACGCCGCGUGAGUGAUGAAGGUCUUCGGAUCGUAAAACUCUGUUAUUAGGGAAGAACAAAUGUGUAAGUAACUAUGCACGUCUUGACGGUACCUAAGCAGAAAGCCACGGCUAACUACGU